rnacentral:rRNA from 1 species
UACGAGUGUGUCAAGCGUUGUUCGGAUUUACUGGGCAUAAAGGGCGCGUAGGCGGGUCGCUAAGUCAGCUGUGAAAUCCCACGGCCCAACUGUGGAAGGGCAGUUGAUACUGGCGAUCUUGAGUGCGGGAGAGGAGAGCGGAACUUCUGGUGGAGCGGUGGAAUGCGUAGAUAUCAGAGGGAACGGCAGAGGCGAAGGCGGCUCUCUAGUCCGCUACUGACGCUGAGGCGCGAAAGUCAGGGGAGCGAACGGG